rnacentral:misc_RNA from 1 species
CUCUCACUCACUGUCUCUCUCUCUCUCUCUCUCUCUCUCUCUCUCUCUCCUCUCUCCUCUCUCUCUCCCUCUCUCUCUCCUCUCUCUCAAUAUAUCACCUUUCCUCUUCCUAUCACUAUCAUGCUUGCCACACAGUGUCUCGGCCGAAAACAGUCCUGACUUUGGAACGGUUUCCUGAAUCUCGUAUUAAUAUGUUAAAAUGUUCCAGCAGGAGAUGUAUUUCACAAAUAUAAACAACAAAACGGGGCAAACCGAAACAAGACGUCAGUUAUUUGCCAAGAGCUAACAUUUUAUAACCACACAACAAACGUUAUUGGACGACGACCAAGUUGGCGAACCAUAUCCAAUCGUUUUAUUCGAUCAUAUAGACCCAAAUUGCUUCUCUCAGUCUGAUUCACCGCAAUGAUACGAGGAAAUUUAUAUCACCAAGUCAACCGUUUAGCAGUGAUCAAGGAUCAGUGCUGAGAUUUAUUGU